rnacentral:rRNA from 1 species
AUGGCUUUGGCGCCGGUGGAGUUCGUGGGCGCGAGGGACGGCGGGGAGGCGCUCUACUGCGCCAUCAUACUGUGGUUGUCCGUCAUGUCGUGGACCAUCUUCACCUGCGGCGGCGGGAGGAGGAGGAAGGGCCGUCGGGGCAGCCGGGACACCAAGGUCUUCAUCGGCGCUGACCGCCUCUGCGACGGCACCGGGCCCAACUGCAGCGGCGGCUACGGCCUCUGCGGCUCCUGCGUCGACUAG